rnacentral:tRNA from 1 species
AUAGACUUUAGCUCAGAAGGGAGAGCACUAAUAAUAUAGAGGUCACGGGUUCGAUUCCCGUAAGUCAUA